rnacentral:rRNA from 1 species
UGAAAUAAACCUGAUGGGUUGUUGCUGGNUCUCUAGGGAGCAUGUGCACACCUUGUCAUCUUUAUAUCUCCACCUGUGCACCUUUUGUAGACCUUUCAGGUCUAUGUUGCUUCAUUUACCCCAAUGUAUGUUAAUAGAAUGUUGUGCCUACAUAAUAUAUACAACUUUCAGCAACGGAUCUCUUGGCUCUCGCAUCGAUGAAGAACGCAGCGAAAUGCGAUAAGUAAUGUGAAUUGCAGAAUUCAGUGAAUCAUCGAAUCUUUGAACGCACCUUGCGCUCCUUGGUAUUCCGAGGAGCAUGCCUGUUUGAGUGUCAUUAAUAUAUCAACCUUCUCUUUUUGAGUGGUUUGGAUGUGGGGGUUUGCUGGCCUUUUAAAGGGUCUUGGCUCUCCUGAAAUACAUUAGCAGAACAACCCUGUUCAUUGGUGUGAUAACUAUCUACGCUAUUGAAUGUGAAGGGCAGUUUGGCUUUCUA